rnacentral:rRNA from 1 species
GGAGGUAGUGACAAUAAAUCACAAUGCGGAACAAUGUUUUGCAAUUGGAUUGAGAACAACGUACAAACCUUAUCGAUAAACAAUUGGAGGGCAAGUCUGGUGCCAGCAGCCGCGGUAAUUCCAGCUCCAAUAGCGUAUAUUAACGUUGUUGCAGUUAAAAAGCUCGUAGUUGAAAUGAAGGGUAGUUGUGUAAUGAAUACAUUCGUGUAUUUUGUUAUUCUACUACCCUCCUUCUAAAUUCGAUAUAUGAGUAUUAAUUUACUUGUAUAUGGUUUUAGACCUUUACUGUGAGAAAAUUAGAGUGUUCAAAGCAGGCAUUUGCUUGAAUAUAUUAGCAUGGAAUAAUCAUGUAUGAUUUUCAUGAUGUAUUUGAUUGGUUUGGUUCAUGAGAAUAAGAUUAAAAGGGACAGUUGGGGGUAUUCAUAUUCAAUAGUCAGAGGUGAAAUUCUCGGAUUUAUGGAAGAUGAACAAGUGCGAAAGCAUUUACCAAGGAUGUUUU